AGUUUGAGAUAGGUCGAGGGCGACGCGCCCCCGAUGCCUCUAAUCAUUCGCUUUACCUGAUACACUUAAGAAACUCCAGCUAUCCUGAGAGAAACUUCGGAAGAAUUCAGCUACUAGAUGGUUCGAUUAGUCUUUCGCCCCUAUACCCAAGUUUGACGAACGAUUUGCACGUCAGUAUCGCUACGAACCUCCAUCAGGGUUUCCCCUGACUUCAUUCUACUCAGGCAUAGUUCACCAUCUUUCGGGUCCUAACAGAUAUGCUCCAACUCAAACCUCUCUCAGAGAUCGUGGUCGGUCGUAGGUGCGAAGAAUGGCAAAGCCAAAAUCUCCCUACUCUCACUUUCAUUGCGCAUACAGGAGUAAAACCCGCAUACUCGCACAUAUGUUAGACUCCUUGGUCCGUGUUUCAAGACGGGUCGGUUGGAACCGAUUAAGCCAGCAUCACAGAAACCGAGUACUCGAAAGUGGAGCUCGGAAACAGGAACACUCCUCAGCCACAAGGAAAAGGAAAGAACAAAGAUAUAACGGUCCACAAGGAACCUACCUUCUUUGAACGAAAUCAAUUCCGAGUAGCUGAUGCUGACCUCUCCAAAAAGAUGAACCGGAAAUACAUCAAGAAACCAAAGCCUAAACCUGGUGAGAGAGAGAAGGCAAAGGGAUAGAUGGCAAACCGGCGGCACUUCUUGGAAUCAAAAAGGUCCCAAUCGCUUCCUUUUCAGCAAUUUCAGGCACUUUUAACUCUCUUUCCAAAGAACUUUUCAUCUUUCCCUCACGGUACUUGUUUGCUAUCGGUCUCGCGCCAGUACUUAGCUUUAUGUGAAACCUACCACACAUUUUGCGCUCAAAUCCCGAUGAACGCGACUCUAUAAAAGCGUACCGUACGUGGAACAAAAAACGCAGGGGAAGGACGGGAUUCUCACCCUCUAUGAUGUUCUUUCCCAAGAAACUUAACACUGCGCUUCCACUGGUAACGCCUCUCGAGGCUACAAGUCAACAGCUCGGAAAGAGCAGUUGAUUUCCACUUUGAGCUGAUCCCGGUUCACUCGCCGUUACUAAGGGAAUCAUAGUUAUUUUCUUCUCCUCCGCUUAAUAAUAUGCUUAAGUUCAGCGGGUAACCU